GAACAACUAUCCUGAGCUGCUGUUCAUGAUUCAGGUUGGCAUCAAUCAAAUUGGAAGCACAUGAAUUAUACAUUAUUGUUUCUGAGCCACAGACAUGAAGAAUGGGAACACUACCAUUGCAUCUCCCAGCCCCAGAGAAGGAUGUUCACUCCCAUGUUCUCACCUUUUCUUCAUCUUUAUUUGAUGGCUAUAACUUUGUCAUUCAUAUUUUUUAAAAAUCGUGGGUGGAUGUUUUGGAUUUUUUUAAGAUAUACAGUAAAUACCAACUUCUUAAAUUUUCCCUCGCUGCUUCCAGAGGAGGCUGGUAUAUUUUUUCUCUGUUCAACAACGAGAGAAGUAUCAAGUUUUAGUUAUCUUCUACAGCACAUCUUUUGAGUAAAGACAUGCAAGUAGUACUGAAACGACUGCAAUGUGAUAAUCACGGAGACUGGACUGGUUCAACAUCCAGAUGUUUCGAUUUUUUUGAUAAAUCAAUCUCCAAGGUUCAGCUCAUUCACAGUGUGAGGCUACUUACCUGUUCAAAGUACAUCACUUUUGUCCUCCAGUUUUCAUAUUGGCUUCCUGUCAAGGUUUGCAUUGAUUUUAAAGUUUUAUUGUUGACGUUUAAAGCACUUAAUGGCCUGAUACCUUCUUACAUUAAUGAUUUGCUUAUCCCUAUGGGACAAGAAUAAAUUUUGAGAUGUACUUUUGCUAGCUGGAUGUCAGUCUUAAAUGUCACCUUGAGAUUCAGAGUGCAAAGGCUUACUGUCUUUUGUUCACAUUCUUUUUGAGAUCAGAUAAGACAUCAGAAAGAAAAUAACACAACUUUUCUAAAGGUCAGUGGGACAUCACAGAAAAAUGAUGUAUCAAGACCUUCGGUUAAUCAAAUUAAUGUAAGUUUUCAAGUUCUCAAAUAAGAUUUGUAAUGGGCAAAGCAAAAUGACUAAAGCCUCUAUCUAGAAAAGUAACAAUACAAACGUUAAAUCUAUGAAAUGCAGAAAUUAUUAAAAUAAUACUCUUAUUUUGAAAACUUGGAAAAUAUGCUAUGUUCCUGAGUGAAAAAAUAUUUUGCUUAUUCUUCUCUCAAAGUCAAUCUCUCAAGGAAUUUUAAAAAAUUUUUAGAUAAGUAUGAUAAAUUGCAUGGAUGGAAAAAUGCUGUAAUAUAUUCUAGAAUCAAUCACAAAUAGUCUUUUUUAAUUUGGUGUUUAAUUUUGAAGACUAGGUUAUGCUGUAUUUGUGUCAGAUUGCUUUGUUUAAUGACACAUGAUUAAUGCCAAGCAUAGUCUAGUUUAUUUUUUAAGAAAAUAACUGUUUUUUGUGAGUGUAAAGUAUUAAAAGAUAAUAUAGAAAAUCAGCUGUUUAUGACCUGGUACACUUUAUAAAAGGAAUUGUAAUUCAUGAUAUAGAGAAAACUAUUUUGUAUACCCUAGUACCAUUAUCAAUCUAUCUUAUUUCUAAAAUAAGUCUUUAUUUCUAAAAGCUAUCUAGCUUGCUAGCUAAUCUCUCUGAUCUACCUACCCACCUAUCCAACUACUAGUUUUGUAUCUCAGUCCAUUGCCUUUUCUGUCACUUGCCAUAUCGAUAUUUGAUACCUGGUGACUUAGUAUAAAUCAAAUUUUGUGCACAUAAAACAAAGUACAAGAAAGUGUUUUUAAAAUAUUAAGUGCCGAAUAAAUUACAUAUUACCAUA